rnacentral:tRNA from 1 species
CCGGCGCUGGUGGAGCAGGCGGCUCCCGUCCUUGCACAGGGCGGCAUGGCACUUUGCCAGGGGCCGGGGUCGCCUUCGGGGCCCCGGC